rnacentral:snoRNA from 1 species
ACGCUUAAUGAUGAUAUAAUUUGCGAUCUAGGAUAGGACUUCCUGGGACAUGCCUAGUUCCAUUAUAGGGAUUCUAUGGAAUGCGAAAAUAUUAUAUAACUGACAAGUGC